rnacentral:rRNA from 1 species
GAACGGGUGAGUAAUGCAUCGGAACGUACCCAGUAGUGGGGGAUAACUUACCGAAAGGUAAGCUUAUACCGCAUACGCACUGAGGUGGAAAGCAGGGGACCGCAAGGCCUUGCGCUAUUGGAGCGGCCGAUGUCGGAUUAGCUAGUUGGUGGGGUAAAGGCCUACCAAGGCGACGAUCCGUAGCGGGUCUGAGAGGAUGAUCCGCCACACUGGAACUGAGACACGGUCCAGACUCCUACGGGAGGCAGCAGUGGGGAAUUUUGGACAAUGGGCGCAAGCCUGAUCCAGCCAUGCCGCGUGAGUGAAGAAGGCCUUCGGGUUGUAAAGCUCUUUCGGCCGGGAAGAAAUCGUGGUGGCUAAUACCUGCCAUGGAUGACGGUACCGGACUAAGAAGCACCGGCUAACUAUGUGCCAGCAGCCGCGGUAAUACAGAGGGUGCAAGCGUUAAUCGGAAUUACUGGGCGUAAAGCGCGCGUAGGCGGCUUGAUAAGAUGGGUGUGAAAUCCCCGGGCUUAACCUGGGAACUGCAUCCAUAACUGUCUGGCUAGAGUACAGUAGAGGGUGGUGGAAUUUCCUGUGUAGCGGUGAAAUGCGUAGAUAUAGGAAGGAACACCAGUGGCGAAGGCGACCACCUGGACUGAUACUGACGCUGAGGUGCGAAAGCGUGGGGAGCAAACAGGAUUAGAUACCCUGGUAGUCCACGCCGUAAACGAUGUCUACUAGCCGUUGGAAUCCUUGAGAUUUUAGUGGCGCAGCUAACGCACUAAGUAGACCGCCUGGGGAGUACGGUCGCAAGAUUAAAACUCAAAUGAAUUGACGGGGGCCCGCACAAGCGGUGGAGCAUGUGGUUUAAUUUCGAAGCAACGCGAAGAACCUUACCUGCCCUGACCU